CCUACGGUGCGCAGCAGUGAGGAAUAUUGGUCAAUGGACGAGAGUCUGAACCAGCCAAGUAGCGUGAAGGAUGACUGCCCUAUGGGUUGUAAACUUCUUUUAUAUGGGAAUAAAAUGUUCCACGUGUGGGAUUUUGUAUGUACCAUAUGAAUAAGGAUCGGCUAACGCCGUUCCAGCAGCCGCGGUAAUACGGAGGAUCCGAGCGUUAUCCGGAUUUAUUGGGUUUAAAGGGAGAGUAGGUUGAGUGUUAAGUCAGUUGUGAAAGUUUGCGGCUCAACCGUAAAAUUGCAGUUGAAACUGGCAGUCGUGAGUACAGUAGAGGUGGGCGGAAUUCGUGGUGUAGCGGUGAAAUGCUUAGAUAUCACGAAGAACUCCGAUUGCGAAGGCAGCUCACUGGACUGCAACUGACACUGAGGCUCGAAAGUGUGGGUAUCAAACAGGAUUAGAUACCCCAGUAGUC
rnacentral:rRNA from 1 species